GCCAAGUAAUCGUUUAUUUUGUACUUUUGACAGUAUUGUAUAUUGUAUCCCUAUAGGAAAGUAUAGUUACUUUAAAAACAUUUAUUACAGGUUCAUGGGUUAAGAGUGUUGUGCUAUGUUUUAGGAAGAUGAAAGUGAUAUCGCCGAACGUCGCAUUACCGGUGGUAUAAAAUUCAAAGUGUAUAAAGACUAUUUUCUUGCUGGUGCUAGGCCUAUUGCCCUCUUGUUAUGUUUCAUAAUUUUCUUAACUGGGCAGGUAUGAACAGUUCUCAUAAAAUAUUUAGUAUAUAAUUUCUUGAUGUGGAGAAUUUUCAAGCCGAAUAUUUUGUAAUUGGUCAUAUCACGAGAAAAUAAACUAAUAAAUUAUAAAUAUACUGUAUUUAUAUAUGGCUAUAAUUGGAUGUGGAAUUCAUCACUUCAGCAUAAAAUUCUUCAGUAUACUUACAGUACGAUAUAUUUUCUUUUCGUUCAAAUAUUCGUCAGAAAUGAUUUCAGAGCCUUUCAUUAUAUAUGGUUAACCUCUGGCACCUAUAUAGGGUAGUGCAUUUUUUGCUCAACAUUGCGUCAAUGUUGUGACGUCAUACCGUGCGAUAAUUCUCCAUAUCACACCCAUAAUGAAUUAUUGACGUCACAACUAGUAUUUUAUCAGCCAUUGAGUUGAUAUGACGAUUUCACCGUUGGCUGUUAGCUAGAAAUCAUGACAUAUUUAACCGAAUAUAUAGGUAACGAUGAAUUGGCUUUAUGCAACUAUAACGAAUUUGGAAAUCAAGAACUAUGUUGACUAAAUAACGGCAUUUUACGAGGCAAUUACUCGAAUCUAAAACUGACCUACCGCAUAUCAAAGGCCCUUGAAAGAUUGCACUUAUACACUAGAAGGGUACCUUAGGAUUUCUGCAUUGAUUUUUUUAUUUUUAUUUGGUUACUUUAGGUGUCUUUAAUGAUUUCUGAAUGGUGGCUAGCGCAGUGGU